rnacentral:rRNA from 1 species
UACGGAGGGUGCGAGCGUUAUCCGGAAUUACUGGGCGUAAAGCGUGCGCAGGCGGCUUUGCAAGACAGGUGUGAAAUCCCCGGGCCUAACCUGGGAACUGCAUUUGUGACUGCAUAGCUAGAGUCUGUCAGAGGGGGGUGGAAUUCCACGUGUAGCAGUGAAAUGCGUAGAGAUGUGGAAGAACACCGAUGGCGAAGGCAGCCCCCUGGGAUAAGACUGACGCUCAUGCACGAAAGCGUGGGGAGCAAAC